UACGUAGGGGGCAAGCGUUGUCCGGAAUCAUUGGGCGUAAAGCGCGUGUAGGCGGCCCGGUAAGUCCGCUGUGAAAGUCGGGGGCUCAACCCUCGGAUGCCGGUGGAUACUGUCGGGCUAGAGUGCGGGAGAGGCGAGUGGAAUUCCUGGUGUAGCGGUGAAAUGCGCAGAUAUCAGGAGGAACACCGGUGGCGAAGGCGGUUCUCUGGGCCUUACCUGACGCUGAGGAGCGAAAGCGUGGGGAGCAAACAGG
rnacentral:rRNA from 1 species